rnacentral:rRNA from 1 species
UGGGGGAUAUUGCACAAUGGGCGAAAGCCUGAUGCAGCGACGCCGCGUGGGGGAUGAAGGCCUUCGGGUUGUAAACUUCUUUUGCUCUGAACAAGGCGCACCAUGGGGUGUGUUGAGUGUAGGGGUUGAUUAGCGCCGGCUAACUACGUGCCAGCAGCCGCGGUAAUACGUAGGGCGCGAGCGUUGUCCGGAAUUAUUGGGCGUAAAGGGCAUGUAGGUGGCUGGUUGCGUCUGUCGUGAAAGCUCAUGGCUUAACUGUGGGUUUGCGGUGGGUACGGGCUGGCUUGAGUGCAGUAGGGGAGGCUGGAAUUCCUGGUGUAGCGGUGGAAUGCGCAGAUAUCAGGAGGAAUACCGGUGGCGAAGGCGGGUCUCUGGGCUGUUACUGACACUGAGGAGCGAAAGCAUGGGGAGCGAACAGG